UACGUAGGGGGCUAGCGUUGUCCGGAAUCAUUGGGCGUAAAGCGCGUGUAGGCGGUCCGGUAAGUCCGCUGUGAAAGUCGGGGGCUCAACCCUCGGAUGCCGGUGGAUACUGUCGGGCUUGAGUACGGAAGAGGCGAGUGGAAUUCCUGGUGUAGCGGUGAAAUGCGCAGAUAUCGGGAAGAAUAUCCGUGGCGAAGGCGGCUCUCUGGUACGGCACUGACGCUGAGACGCGAAAGCGUGGGGAGCGAACAGG
rnacentral:rRNA from 1 species